rnacentral:rRNA from 1 species
GACGCACGCUGGCGGCGUGCCUAAUACAUGCAAGUCGAACGCAGUGGGGACGGGUGAGUAACACGUGGGUAACCUCCCAUCAGAGGGGAUAACACUUGGAAACAGGUGCUAAACCGAUACUGAUGGAUGGACCCGCGGUGCAUUAGCUAGUUGGUGAGGUAACGGCUCACCAGGGCCACGAUGCAUAGCGGAGCAGAGAGGGUGGUCGGCCACAGUGGGACGGAAGCACGGCCCAGACUCCUACGGGAGGAAGGAGUAGGGAAUCAUCGGAAAUGGACAAAAGUCGGACCGAGCAACGCGGGGUGAGUGAAGAAAGUUUUCGGAUAGUAAAACUCUGUUGUUAGAUAAGCGGUGUCUAACCAGAGAGCCACGGGUAACUACGGGCCAGCGGCCGCGGAAAUAA